rnacentral:rRNA from 1 species
CCUACGGGAGGCAGCAGUGGGGAAUAUUGCACAAUGGGGGCAACCCUGAUGCAGCGACGCCGCGUGAAGGAAGAAGUAUUUCGGUAUGUAAACUACUAUCAGCCGGGAAGAAAAUGUCGGUACCUGACUAAGAAGCCCUGGCUAACUACGUGACAGCAGCCGCGGUAAAACGGAGGGGGCAAGCGUUAUCCGGAUUUACUGGGUGUAAAGGGAGCGUAGGCGGUUUAGCGAGUCAGAAGUGAAAGCCCGGGGCUUAACCCGGGGACUGCUUUUGAUACUGUUGAACUAGAUUGCAGGAGAGGUAGGUAGAAUUCCUAGUGUAGCGGUGAAAUGCGUAGAGAUGAGGAGGAAUACCAGUGGCGAAGGCGGCUUACUGGAC